UACGUAGGGACCAAGCGUUGUUCGGAUUCAUUGGGCGUAAAGGGUGUGUAGGUGGCGCCGUAAGUCGGGUGUGAAAUUUCGAGGCUUAACCUCGAAACUGCAUUCGAUACUGCGGUGCUUGAGGACUGGAGAGGAGACUGGAAUUCAUGGUGUAGCAGUGAAAUGCGUAGAUAUCAUGAGGAAGACCAGUGGCGAAGGCGGGUCUCUGGACAGUUCCUGACACUGAGACACGAAGGCCAGGGGAGCAAACGGG
rnacentral:rRNA from 1 species